rnacentral:lncRNA from 1 species
AAAAUAGUAUUUUAAAAGGAGUUUAUCAAAAUAAGUCAGAUAAAAGUAUUUAAUUAUAUUUUUAUUACAUAACAAACAAUCAAGCUCUACCAAGAAAUUCAAUACAUCACCAGUACUGCUUAACUUCAGGGAAAUCAAGUCACCUGGGAGAAAAAACACAAAUUUAUUAAUCUCAACUAUUUUUUUAAUAGAGUGAGAAAAUCAAAAUUUCAAAGGACAUGUUUUUGAAACAACUUAUCACUAAUGAAAGAAUUAGUAUGAAUCAAGUGUAUUUUGAAAAGCCAAUAUAACCUGAAAUGUAAGCAACAAGCACACAAGGAAGAGAAAAAGACCUAAAUAAAAAGUGUAUACAAAUGUUAACCUUUUAACAAGUAAGACAAAAACAAUAAAAAACAAAAACACACAAAUAUGUUAUACAGGAUGGUGACGGAAGUGUGGGCAAGUAAAUUGUGAAAUGACAUAACUUUUUAACCAAAAAUAAACAAUAUGUUUUGUGGACGCAUGAAUAAACACUUUAUACAUAAAAAUCAUUUGUGGCAUGAACACAAAUUUAAAUAAUCAGGUAUAGUGCAAAAGCUAUGAAAAGAUUAUCUGUAGAACAACGAAUUAUCAAGAGAAUUAACAAGUAGUUUAUAACAUUAGCCCUCCAAGUUCUAGAAACUUUCACCAUUGUCAUGAAAAAGUUAUUCAAGAUUCACCAUGGCAUACAACAUAGUGGAAAUAGCAAUGGCCUUGGAGUUCUCAUGUGAACUUACUUGUUCACUUACCAACUGUGUUACCCAGAUGUAUAACUUUGCCUC